CUUAACAGUAUUCGUGCUUCACCAUUAACUCCGCCAGGAUGGGAUGUUAUUUUUCGAAUUUAUCAAAAAGUAUAAGCAAGAAAACGUAUAGCUAUAAGUUUUCGCAGCAAAAAAUUAAAUUAAGGAGAUUCUGGUGAUCUGUAAAUAGUAUUUAUUAGAGUAAGUGAUGGUAGCAUUUAAACAGCUUAAUUGCUUAGCUUAUAUCUUAAUGUAAAAAAAUAUUUAUAUGAUAUUUAAAAUAUUGUUAUGGUUAUAAGCUACUAAUACGUGGAACGUACAUUAAUAAUUUCAAAUAAUUAUGUAUUUCAUAUGAGAACAGAUUUAUUUUACAAUACGAAAGUAUUUCCAUGAUUUCUUAUUUAUUAGUAUUUACUAAGUAGCGUUCCAUAAACUGCUUGAUGUAUAUUUUGAGGGUUGUUCCUAAUAUUUAGAAUGUUAUCUAACUCUACUUUUAUAGUUGUUUGAUCUAGAUAUAGCACUUAGGAAAGAUCGAUAAAUACGAAAAAAAUAUGUUAUCAACAAAUGUUUAAAAUUUUGACGCAUCUCAAUUCCAGAUGAAAAGCAAAAUUCUACUGUCAUUUUAACCAUAUUGCAAACCUUAUAUUUUUAAAUAGUAAUUAAUGACGUGCUAGCUAUUUUGCCGUUUUGUAUUAUUUCAUUUGACAGUUUUACUAAACCUAUGGUCACCCUCAACAAUGAAAUGUGUUGUUAAGUCUUGUAUUUUUUCAACUAUUCCACGAACGUAAUAUGUUAUUUGAAAAUUCAAAAUUUUCUUUUAAUGUUGAACGUUUAAGGAGAGUGUAGACAUGUUAUUUGUUUAAUUGGCUUUCUCAAUGACUUUACUUUUAUUUCGAUGCUUUUGCGAAAUAGACUUGGUAAGGUUUUUUAAAUAUUAUCAUUUAUUGUCUUUACACACAGUAUAUAAAUAUUUUUUAUAUAUGAAGUGUCACAUGAGACACUAUUUGACACUUUUGUAUUAAAACAUUGGAAAUUAACAAAUAUUGUAUUAAUUAUUGAAGUAAUAGUAAUGAAAAUAAUCCAUGUGCCAAUAAUGGACAGGUCGUCUGUCUCGUAGCCAUAUUUUUUAUAGUGUAGUUGUAUAAAAUAAUAUUUUUCGAAUAUGUUAUUAUGUAUUCCAUUUCAUUGUAAAUCAAUGAUAAUAAAAAUUCUGUAAUAAAAA